AACGAACGCUGGCGGCGUGCCUAACACAUGCAAGUCGAGCGAGAAAGCCCGCAAGGGUGAGUAAAGCGGCGCACGGGUGAGUAACACGUGGGUAAUCUGCCCUGGAGUCCGGAAUAACUCGCCGAAAGGCGUGCUAAUGCCGGAUAAGACCACGGGAGCCUCGGCUCCUGUGAGAAAAGGUGGCCUCUGUACACAAGCUAUCGCCCCAGGAUGGGCCCGCGUCCCAUCAGCUAGUUGGCGGGGUAAUGGCCCACCAAGGCUACGACGGGUAGCUGGUCUGAGAGGACGAUCAGCCACACUGGAACUGAGACACGGUCCAGACUCCUACGGGAGGCAGCAGUGGGGAAUCUUGCGCAAUGGGCGAAAGCCUGACGCAGCAACGCCGCGUGUGUGAUGAAGGUCUUCGGAUCGUAAAGCACUGUCGCGAGGGACGAAUAAGGCCUCAGCUAAUACCUGGGGACGAUGACGGUACCUCGAGAGGAAGCACCGGCUAACUCUGU
rnacentral:rRNA from 1 species